AUCCUUCUGUAGUUUAUAAGUGUCAUGACGGGGUGUCCAUGCACAUGUGUAAGAUGUGCCACCCUUGAAGCUUUGUUACAACAUGGGCAGAAUACCAAUUUCACA
rnacentral:snoRNA from 1 species